rnacentral:tRNA from 1 species
CAGAGAGUAGUUUAAUUAAAAAUAUUAGUUUUGGAGAUUAAUGAUAAAGGAAAACUCUUUUUCUCUGA